rfam:Hafnia alvei FB1, complete genome.
CUCGGUUUGUAAUGCAGAACCAGUAUGAAAGACAUUUUAGUAAAGCAGUUCUUUGUUUAGCGAUGUGUAUCACUUCGCUCAUGAAUUUCCUUCUUUAGUGCUCCCGUACGUCCUCUGAUAGAACAGACCCUUUUCGCCCGAGAGCGGCGACUCUACUUUAAAUAUAUUAGGAAAUAUCAUGUCUGAUAAAAUGACUGGCUUAGUAAAAUGGUUUGACGCUGGUAAAGGUUUCGGCUUCAUCACUCCAGACAACGGCAGCAAAGACAUCUUCGUUCACUUCUCUGCAAUCCAGAGCACCGCAUUCAAAACUCUGGACGAAGGCCAGCGUGUUGAGUUCACUGUUGAAAACGGCCAGAAAGGUCCUUCAGCAGCUAACGUUGUAGCUCUGUAAUAUUGCUUUUAAGUGACCACCAGAGUUUGCGAUUUUGGGUAACCAUAAAUUGCUAA